rnacentral:rRNA from 1 species
UCGACGAUGAAUCUUCUAGCUUGCUAGAAGUGGAUUAGUGGCGCACGGGUGAGUAAUGCAUAGGUUAUGUGCCCUUUAGUCUGGGAUAGCCACUGGAAACGGUGAUUAAUACUGGAUACUCCCUACGGGGGAAAGUUUUUCGCUAAAGGAUCAGCCUAUGUCCUAUCAGCUUGUUGGUGAGGUAAUGGCUCACCAAGGCUAUGACGGGUAUCCGGCCUGAGAGGGUGAUCGGACACACUGGAACUGAGACACGGUCCAGACUCCUACGGGAGGCAGCAGUAGGGAAUAUUGCUCAAUGGGGGAAACCCUGAAGCAGCAACGCCGCGUGGAGGAUGAAGGUUUUAGGAUUGUAAACUCCUUUUGUUAGAGAAGAUUAUGACGGUAUCUAACGAAUAAGCACCGGCUAACUCCGUGCCAGCAGCCGCGGUAAUACGGAGGGUGCAAGCGUUACUCGGAAUCACUGGGCGUAAAGAGUGCGUAGGCGGGGUAAUAAGUCAGAUGUGAAAUCCUGUAGCUUAACUACAGAACUGCAUUUGAAACUGUUACUCUGGAGUGUGGGAGAGGUAGGUGGAAUUCUUGGUGUAGGGGUAAAAUCCGUAGAGAUCAAGAGGAAUACUCAUUGCGAAGGCGACCUGCUGGAACAUUACUGACGCUGAUGCACGAAAGCGUGGGGAGCAAACAGGAUUAGAUACCCUGGUAGUCCACGCCCUAAACGAUGGAUGCUAGUUGUUGCCUUGCUUGUCAGGGCAGUAAUGCAGCUAACGCAUUAAGCAUCCCGCCUGGGGAGUACGGUCGCAAGAUUAAAACUCAAAGGAAUAGACGGGGACCCGCACAAGCGGUGGAGCAUGUGGUUUAAUUC